rnacentral:rRNA from 1 species
AGCAGCAGCCGCGGUAAUACGGAGGGAGCUAGCGUUGUUCGGAAUUACUGGGCGUAAAGCGCACGUAGGCGGCUUUGUAAGUUAGAGGUGAAAGCCUGGAGCUCAACUCCAGAAUUGCCUUUAAGACUGCAUCGCUUGAAUCCGGGAGAGGUGAGUGGAAUUCCGAGUGUAGAGGUGAAAUUCGUAGAUAUUCGGAAGAACACCAGUGGCGAAGGCGGCUCACUGGACCGGCAUUGACGCUGAGGUGCGAAAGCGUGGGGAGCAAACAGGAUUAGAUACCCGAGUAGUCCCUGUCUCUUAUAC